GCUCGAUUAGCUCAGUCGGCAGAGCGUGGUGCUAAUAACGCCACGGUCGCAGGUUCGAUCCCUGCAUCGAGCA
rfam:Dictyostelium discoideum AX4 chromosome 6, whole genome shotgun sequence.